rnacentral:piRNA from 1 species
GAGUAAUGGCUUGCUUGAAUUCCUUCCCUC